AUUGAACGCUAGCGGGAUGCUUUACACAUGCAAGUCGAACGGCAGCGCGGACUUCGGUCUGGCGGCGAGUGGCGAACGGGUGAGUAAUGUAUCGGAAUGUGCCCAGUAGCGGGGGAUAACUACGCGAAAGCGUAGCUAAUACCGCAUACGCCCUGCGGGGGAAAGCAGGGGAUCGUAAGACCUUGCACUAUUGGAGCGGCCGAGGUCGGAUUAGCUAGUUGGUGGGGUAACGGCUUACCAAGGCGACGAUCCGUAGCUGGUUUGAGAGGACGAUCAGUCACACUGGAACUGAGACACGGCCCAGACUCCUACGGGAGGCAGCAGUGGGGAAUUUUGGACAAUGGGGGAAACCCUGAUCCAGCCAUCCCGCGUGUGCGAUGAAGGCCUUCGGGUUGUAAAGCACUUUUGGCAGGGAAGAAACGUCGCGGGCUAAUACCCCGUGGAACUGACGGUACCUGCAGAAUAAGCACCGGCUAACUACGUG
rnacentral:rRNA from 1 species